rfam:Danio rerio chromosome 8, GRCz11 reference primary assembly.
GUUUCCGUAGUGUAGUGGUUAUCACGUUUGCUUUACACGCAAAAGGUCCCCUGUUCGAAACUGGGUGGAAACA